rnacentral:misc_RNA from 1 species
ACUACAGAUACACAUAUCCUAGCUCUUUAUGGUACAUAUCUUAACAAAUUGUUCAAUGGUGUAACCAACUGAAUUUAUGUGCCUCUAUUUCUUUUAAAACACCAAGUGCAGGGUGCCUCAGAUCAGAAGCAUGCUAAAUAAUGACUUAGAUUGUCUAGGUAAAUACGAUGCAAUAAAGAAUGCUAAACGGUAACUAAGAUCAUCUUGGUAUAUAUGUUCAGAUGAUUUGAUACCUUGUUCUCAAGAGACAGAAUGUAUAUUGCUGAGCAGUUGUGAUGCUCUUACAUCAGACCAGUGAAGUUAUUGAACCUGGACAGGCUUAGAGAACCAGUGAACUGGACCUAAAACCGGUCCGGUUUUACAUUGAAACUGCUUGAGGAAGAGAAUUGGAAUGAAAUGGGUGAACAGGCUGUAACCGGCCAGACCCAUUCAAACCGCAAAGAACUGGAUGACCUGGACUGGUUCUUUUAUGAAAGGCAAAAAUGCAUUCAAGAGCAGCGUUUUGCUCUUUUGUCAUGCAUUCUGGUCACCUUUAUGUUAGCCCUUAAUCCAGAGACUUCCUUCAAAACUCCAAAAUACAAAUUACUAAGCUAAUCCAUUUCUUCCUUCAAUUUUUUUUUUCUGCCAGAGUUUCUUUCUUUCUUCCUUAAGAGAAGCUUGAUUCUUGAAGCCAUAUUGCCAACUGUCAGAAGCUAAGCUUGUUGAUUGUUGAUUGUGAAACAAAGUUCCAUGUGCUAUUUUGUUCAAAGCAGAACCAGAGGAAGAAGCUGACUGUUCACAAUUCACUAGUGUUGUCAAAAGCAUUAAAUGCCCUUAAGGCGGGAAGGUCCUUCAUUGGUCAAGGCGCUAGGCACUCACCUGAAUGAAGUGAGGCACUAAUUCAUUCUAAAAUAAUAAAUAA